GAUGAACGCUGGCGGCGUGCCUAACACACGCAAGUCGAGCGAUUUACUUCGGUAAAGAGCGGCGGACGGGUGAGUAACGCGUGGGUAACCUGCCCUGUACACACGGAUAACAUACCGAAAGGUAUGCUAAUACGAGAUAAUAUGCUUUUAUCGCAUGGUAGAAGUAUCAAAGCUCCGGCGGUACAGGAUGGACCCGCGUCUGAUUAGCUAGUUGGUAAGGUAACGGCUUACCAAGGCGACGAUCAGUAGCCGACCUGAGAGGGUGAUCGGCCACAUUGGAACUGAGACACGGUCCAAACUCCUACGGGAGGCAGCAGUGGGGAAUAUUGCACAAUGGGCGAAAGCCUGAUGCAGCAACGCCGCGUGAGCGAUGAUGGCCUUCGGGUCGUAAAGCUCUGUCCUCAAGGAAGAUAAUGACGGUACUUGAGGAGGAAGCCCCGGCUAACUACGUGCCAGCCGCCGCCGUAAAAC
rnacentral:rRNA from 1 species